rnacentral:lncRNA from 1 species
GAACACAAGGUUUUUGCGCUGUAAACUUCACAGCUUUUCUGCUCCUCUCUCGCUUCUAUUUAUUCAGAUUACAGAAGGGAAACUGGGGAUCGUGGCCCCUGACUUGGCGCCUACGUGAUCCACAUCGCUCGUGCCAUCCCACGAACAGAUCAACGAGGCGCGCGACUCGCUCCAGGUUGUUGCAACCCACGAGCAAAGCUAGCUAACAGAAAGACUGAAAGAAAAACGGGAAAGCUAACCUGACAGAAAAACUAGCUAACUGAACUUUGACAGGGCUCGGGGUUUUAUUUCAACAAAUCACCCCCUAAAACCUAAGCCCUUGUCGAUCUCUACCAUGCCGAUCCUUGCACGCAGCUCCGCAAAGCGCACGCGCCCGAGAGCCUUGGUCAGAAGAUCGGCGAGCUGUCCAUCAGUGCCGACGAACUCCACCUCCACUUGCUUGUUCUCCACACACUCCCUGAUGAAGUGGAACCGGAUGUCAAUGUGCUUACUCCGUUCAUGGUACACAGGGUUCUUCGCAAGUGAGAUGGCUGAUUUGUUAUCCAUCCAGAGUGGGAAACACGCCGGCCUCUCCUUCUUGAGCUCGCUGAGGAAACGGGCCAGCCAAACUCCUUGGCACGCCGCCGUCGUGGCGCUGAUGUACUCGGCCUCGCAGGAUGACAGCGCCACGACCUUCUGCUUGAGAGACUGCCAGCUGAUGAUGCAGUUGCCGUAGAAGAACAUGGCGCCGGUCGUGCUCCGUCGUGUGUCGACAUCUCCUCCCAUGUCACUGUCGCUGUAGCCGGCGAGGUGGCCAUCUCCUUUUCCCUUUGGGUAGAAGCAGCCCCAAUGCAGAGUGCCGGCGAUGUAGCGCAGAAUCUUCCUCACCGCAGCCAGAUGCUCGGUGGUGGGCGCCUCCAUGAAGCGCGAGACGUAGCCAACGGCGAAAGUGAUGUCCGGCCUGGUGUGAACCAGAUAGCGCAGACACCCGACGAGGCCGCGGUACUCCGUCGCAUCAGUCAGAGGCGCGGUGCUCUGCUUGCUAAGCUUCAGUCUGGGUUCCAUGGGCACUGCGCACGGGUUGCACCCUGUCAUGCCCCCGCGCUCCAGAAUCUUCUCGGCGUAAGCCGUCUGGUUCAGGGAGAUACCAGCCCGCGCCUGGUGCACCUCGAUCCCCAAGUAGAAACUUAGGAGACCGAGAUCGCUCAUCUUGAAGAGCUUCAUCAUUUCCUCCUUGAACCGCGUGAUCUCCCCGUCGUCGUUGCCGGUGAUGACCAGAUCGUCGACAUACACCCCCACAAGGAGGCGAGACGAGGCGUUGCCACGCCCGUAGAUGGCGUGCUCGGUGGUGCUGCGCUCGAACCCGAGCGACGCGAGGCAUGCGUCCAGCUUCUGGUUCCAGGCGCGCGGCGCCUGUUUCAAACCGUACAGGGCCUUGUCGAGGCGCAGCACCUUGCUCUCCUGUCCGGCGGCGAUGUACCCAGGUGGUUGCGCGACGUAGACCUCCUCCUGGAGCUCCCCGUUCAGGAACGCACUCUUCACGUCCAUGUGAUGCACGCCCCAGCCCGCGCGCGCGGCCAGAGCGAGCAGGAGGCGCACUGACUCCAUGCGGGCGACAGGCGCGAACACCUCUUCAUAGUCCACGCCCUGGCGCUGCACGAACCCUUUGGCGACGAGGCGGGCCUUGUGCCGCACCACCGCGCCCUGGGCGUCGCGUUUCACCUUGUAGACCCAUUUGAGACCAAUGGGGCGGUGACCAGGAGGGAGAUCAGCGAGAUGCCAGGUGCGAUUCUCCUGGAUAGACGCCAUUUCCUCGUCCAUAGCGCGCUUCCAGGCUGCAUCUCCUUGCGCCUCAUCCAGAGAGGCCGGCUCCUCUGCCAGCCCGAGGUGCAGCUCCUCGUCGUCGAGGUCGUCGAGGUUGAGGAUGUAGUCCGUGAGCUGUUGGUUCGGCUGCACGAUGCCGUCCCGUGCACGCGUCACCAUCGGGUGCACGCCCGCGUGGUCAGCUGGUGGCGACUCGAUCGGAGUCGGCGAAGCGCUUGGCGGAGAAUGUGACAUGGCAGGGCUGAGCUCAGGAUUGAGGUCCCUCCCGCCGGUGCUCGCGGGCGUGAACGGAGUGGGCGCGUCGGCUCCUGCUGCAAUUGCGUCCCCGCCAGCGCUGCCGCGUGGUGGAGGGGCCGGUGUCGCCGGCGCAGAGUGACGCACCCCCUCAAGCACAGCAGUCGGCCCGUACUCGACAGUGAACGUCGCCGCGCCGGGGGCGUCCCCGCCCCGUUGCCAGUCCCAGCUUGCUCGCGCGUCGAAGACGACGUCGCGCGUGAUGUGCACGCGCUUAGUGGCGGGGUCGUACGCCCGGUAUGCCUUGCCUCCCGGCUCAUACCCGAUGAAAACCAUCGCCUUGCUCCUGUCCGCCAGCUUCGCCAGGUGCGGGCGCGUGUCCUUGACGUGAGCCACGCACCCGAAGACGCGCAGGAAGUGCACGUUGGGUUUGCGACCAUGCCACGCCUCAAAUGGCGUCUUCCCAGUCAGGCUCCUUGUGUACGACCUAUUCAUCAGAAACACGGCAGUGGUGACAGCCUCACCCCAGAAGGAAGCCGGCACGCCCCUGGCCUUGAGCAUGCACCUCGCCAUGCCCACAACAGUCAGGUUGCGGCGCUCCACCACUCCGUUUUGCUGCGGGGAGUAGGGCGCUGUCAGGUGGCGCUGCACGCCGUGGUCGGCGCAGUACUCCGCGAACGCCGUGCUCGUGAAUUCGCCUCCGCGAUCCGUGCGGAACGUGCGCAGGGAGCGGCGCGACUCGGUCUCCGCGGCAGCCUUGAACCGGCGGAUCGCCUCGGCCGCCUCGUCCUUGGAGCGCAGCAAGACGAGCCAAGUGUAACGGCUGUGGUCGUCCACUAGUAGGAGGAAGUAGCGCUUCCCGCCCGGCGUCGCCGGCGAGAUCGGCCCGCAGAUGUCGCCGUGGACCAGCUCCAGUGGUUCCAUCGCGCGGUACUUGGUGGCUUGGGGAAACGAGGCCCGCCUCUGCUUGCCAGCAAGGCACGCCUCGCAGAUCUGCUCCGCGUGGACGAUGAGGGGGAGCCCGGUGACCAUGCCGGCGCGCGCCAUCCUCUCCAGGCCCUGGAAGUGGACGUGGCCGAAUCUCUCGUGCCAGCGCCAGCCCGCGCCGUCGCACUCGCUCGCGGCGAGGCACGCCGGCUUGACGAUCUUGAUAUGCAGAAUAUAGAGUCGCUUGGCCGAGCGGGUUACCUUUGCGAGGAGAUUCUUCUGACGAUCGCGAACCGUCAUGGUGCCGUGCUCCACCAGCGUCGCGCACCCGACCUCGUCCAGCUGGCCGAUGCUGAUGAUGCUGCUCUUGAGGCGGGGUAUCCAGUAGACAUUUGUGAGGCCACGGUGGUGACCACCUGCCACAGCGAACAGCACCGUGCCCCGCCCGCGUAUGUCCACUAGAGACCCGUCGCCGAACUUGACCGAGCCCGUCACGGACUCGUCCAGGUCCGCGAACGCCGACACGUCGCCGGUCAUGUGGUUCGACGCCCCAGUGUCGAGGUACCAGGCGGCAUCGGUGUCGCCAGGAGACUGCUGCAGUUCCACGCGUGCGCGCUCCUCGUUGAGGAACACCUGCGCCGCCGCGGUCGCGAGGGAUGUCUGGGGCGCAGUCAGGUUUAGCUUCGACCCUGCCGUGCUCCCCUCGUCCAGAGUGCAGGCCUGGACCAUCAGAAGGCCCGGCUCAUCCUCGUCAGCUUCGGCGAGGUUCGCCUCCUCGUCGCGCUUCUUCUUCCGGCAUUCCCGGGCCCAGUGGCCCAGGUUGUUGCAGUAGCGGCACUUGUCGUUCUUGCGGGCGGCGCUGCCAGAAGAGUUCUGGUUCCCGCGCCCGCCUCGGCCACCUCCGCGACCGCGCGAGCGUCCGCCACCGCCGCCACCGCGGCGUCCGCCGCCGCCGGCAGCUUGGUUGCUGCUACCUCCGGUGGCUCCGGCCUGGUCGAUCUUCUGCUGGCGCGCCAUCCACUCCUCGUGAGUGAACAGCAGGCUGCUCCCGCCUUGGGCGGCCCCGUCCAGCCCGUAGCGUUCCUCCGCCGCUUUCAGCCGGCCGGUGAGCUCCUCGACCGUGAGCUCCAACAGGUCAAGCAGUGUCUCUAUGGAGAGAGCCACCUGUGCAUAGCGCGGCGGGACGACCCAGAGAAAUUUCUCCACGGCCCUUUCUUCCUUCAGAUCAUCACCAAGAAGAGCUAGGUUAUUCAUCAUACCGGUGAGUCGAAGGGCAAACUCGUCGACGGUCUCCCCGUCCUUGAAACGGAUGUCGUCGAACUCGCGGCGGAGGGACUGCGCCUUCGCCUUGCGUACGCGGUCGACUCCAAGACGGAUCGUCUUGAUGGAGUCCCACGCCUCCUUCGCCGUCUCCUUCACGGCGAGCGUCGCCAGCAUCUCCGGCGGUACGGCCCGGAGGAUCGCCUCCAGCGCCAAUCGAUCGUCACGGUAGUCGGCGUCGUCGUACAUGCACGCGCCGAUUUCGAUGACGGUCCACAGGCCUCUCGCCUGCAGGAUCACCUUCAUCAGGAGCGACCACUCCGCGUAGUUCGUCCUCGUCAGGGUGGGGUAGGAGGUGGAUCCGGUCGCCUCGCGCAGCGGCCGUGGCAUUGCCAGCUCACGGCCGGACGGCUUCCCUGAACCGUCGCCAAACAGAGUCGCGGGCUUGCCGCCGCUGCUGUUGGUGCUCUUCCCGUCCUUCUUCGCCUCAGCCCCGGAGUUGUCCGGCGAGGCAGAACGGGAACGAGCCGGAUUGCUCUUCCCCAUGACCGAAACGCGGCUCUGAUGCCAAUUGACAGCACUCCCAAAGUGCCAAGACGAUGAACACAAUCACACACACGAGUGGAGCUCUAGGGAGAUGAUGAACACAAGGUUUUUGCGCUGUAAACUUCACAGCUUUUCUGCUCCUCUCUCGCUUCUAUUUAUUCAGAUUACAGAAGGGAAACUGGGGAUCGUGGCCCCUGACUUGGCGCCUACGUGAUCCACAUCGCUCGUGCCAUCCCACGAACAGAUCAACGAGGCGCGCGACUCGCUCCAGGUUGUUGCAACCCACGAGCAAAGCUAGCUAACAGAAAGACUGAAAGAAAAACGGGAAAGCUAACCUGACAGAAAAACUAGCUAACUGAACUUUGACAGGGCUCGGGGUUUUAUUUCAACAGUCUUUAAUUUUUGAACCGACGGGUGCACUAACUAAAUAAUGGGUGCCUUUUCCUCUCCAGAGCAUAUCUGUAUAGUAUAAUGACUUAAGACGGGACUCCAGCCAGCACUUGUUCCAACUUUGCUAGACAAAAAAUGGCAAAAUGUGUUGCCAAGCAUGCCAAAUAAUAACGCAUUGAGAAUAUAGUAUGUGCAGGCUCCAUCGCAACAAUGUCAC